UACAGAGGGGGCAAGCGUUAUUCGGAAUUAUUGGGCGUAAAGGGCGCGUAGGCGGCUUGGCAAGUGGAAGGUGAAAUCCCUCGGCUUAACCGAGGAACUGCCCUCCAAACUGCUUCGCUUGAGACCGGGAGAGGUGAGUGGAAUUCCCAGUGUAGCGGUGAAAUGCGUAGAUAUUGGGAGGAACACCAGUGGCGAAGGCGGCUCACUGGACCGGUACCGACGCUGAUGCGCGAAAGCGUGGGGAGCAAACGGG
rnacentral:rRNA from 1 species